UCAACCAAUAAUUCAGACUUGUGCUGCUUUUAAGGCUUGUUUUGAUUGACUGAUCGACGACGACUCCUCGUACCUCUCGAUUCCAUCUUGUCAUCGCCAUAGCCAGCGAUCUGUGCAGCCCAAAAUCGAUGCUGAAUACUUAAUGCGACUCAGCAAAGGAAUCGCGAGGGGCAUGGAGGGGCCCGAUUCCUGGUGAGUGAAUAAGUGAGUGAGUUGCAAUCGUUUCUUCUCGAGAUGCCGAUGAUAACUGCCGUUGAUGAGUGGGGAGGCAUUGAUUUUUGCCUUUUACUGCUCACACUUCAAUACAAGAUCUGGGAGGUAUGUUGCAGAAACUUCUGCAAAGACCGUUGCGAAGACCAGCUUCUGGAAGCCUCCCGGUGUUUGAACGGGGUCGAUGAGAGCUUGAGGCUUGCCAAUCGUUGUCGAAAUCGACCUGGAGAGCUAAAGUACGAUUAAUGCUGUGGUUCAUGGACUAGCAACAGCAGCUGUUGUUUUACAACAUCCAUGUGCUGAUUACGCUUCGACACAGGAAAGGUGGGGGGAUGGUGACAGCGUCGGAGAAGUCGGAGUUUUCAAAAUUGGGGGACCUCGUGAAUGGCGUUCGGAUUACUGCGCGAGCACGCCAUUUGUUCCUGGAGGUGAGAAAUACGAAAUACACAAAAAGUUGAUGCUAUGCGUGUUGGUUACAAGUAAGCCAGUUGAAGUGAAGAGUUGAUGCCGAUGAUACCUUCCGCGACCACGAUGGAGAGGGACCCUGAUAUUGCAACUCGACCACGUGCUUGGCUUUUUUCUCCACUGUGUCUGUACGACGGUAGCUCUUGUUGUACGCUACAAGACAUGAAAACAGUGUCUGGAUCUCCAAGUUUUGCAGAGAAUUUGUCGCAUCCAAGCUAACCUUUUGUGACGCUUAACAUUUUUAGUAAAUCCUUUUAUAUGUAUGUACAUAUAUAUAGAUAUAUAUAUAUAUAUAUAUAUAUAUAUAUUACCUGAUGAAAUAUUUUCUAUGCUGCAUAGAUAUUUAUCCACCUCCAGGACAGGGGCCACUCAAAAACUACCUUUAAAGUUGUAUCUUGUAAGUAGGGAGGAUGAAUGAGAUUAGUAGAUUUUUCGCUUGAUAAAUAUGUAUUAUUUUACAUGUGAUCACUUAUUUUGGUAGUACAAGGGUAAUGAACUUAAAUGAAGAUACUUGAAGCUACAAAGUAUCAA